UAGGGAAUCUUCGGCAAUGGACAAAGUCUGACCGAGCAACGCCGCGUGAGUGAAGAAGGUUUUCGGAUCGUAAAACUCUGUUGUUAGAGAAGAACAAGGACGUUAGUAACUGAACGUCCCCUGACGGUAUCUAACCAGAAAGCCACGGCUAACUACGUGCCAGCAGCCGCGGUAAUACGUAGGUGGCAAGCGUUGUCCGGAUUUAUUGGGCGUAAAGCGAGCGCAGGCGGUUUCUUAAGUCUGAUGUGAAAGCCCCCGGCUCAACCGGGGAGGGUCAUUGGAAACUGGGAGACUUGAGUGCAGAAGAGGAGAGUGGAAUUCCAUGUGUAGCGGUGAAAUGCGUAGAUAUAUGGAGGAACACCAGUGGCGAAGGCGGCUCUCUGGUCUGUAACUGACGCUGAGGCUCGAAAGCGUGGGGAGCAAACAGG
rnacentral:rRNA from 1 species